rnacentral:rRNA from 1 species
AUGAUGAGUACCAAGACAUUCGCUCGGCUGGCCAAGAAGUGGCAGAAGGUCUGCGAAGAAACCAAAGGGUCUUGCAGCACAUCAUGCUUCUCAGUGGACGGCAAGGGCCACUGCAUCGUGUACACUGCUGACGGCGUGAGAUUUGAGGUGCCGCUUGCGUUCCUCGGUACGACAGUCUUCGGCGAGCUCUUUAGGAUGUCCCAAGAGGAGUUUGGCUUCACAGGCGUUGACAGUCGCAGAAUCACGCUGCCAUGUGAUGCAUCGGUGAUGGAGUACGCCCUGUGCUUGCUCAGGAGAAGCGCCUCUGCAGAAAUGGAGGCCGCGUUCCUCUACUCCAUGGCGAUGCCAUGCCACUAUCAUGCUGCGGCACAUCUGGGAGUUAACCAGCAUUUUGGUGUCUGCAACUGCUGA